CCUAGGGGAGGCAGCAGUGGGGAAUAUUGCACAAUGGGGGAAACCCUGAUGCAGCGACGCCGCGUGAGCGAGGAAGGAUUUCGGUAUGUAAAGCUCUUUCAGCAGGGACGAAAAAAGACGGUACCUUACUAAGAAGCCCCGGCUAAAUACGUGCCAGCAGCCGCGGUAAUACGUAGGGGGCAAGCGUUAUCCGGAUUGACUGGGUGUAAAGGGAGCGUAGACGGGAAGGCAAGCCAGAAGUGAAAGGGCAGGGCUCAACCCUGUACAUGCAUUUGGAAUUGUGGUGCUAGAGUGAAGGAGGGGUAAGUGGAAUUCCUGGUGUAGCGGUGAAAUGCGUAGAUAUUAGGAGGAACACCAGUGGCGAAGGCGGCUUACUGGACUGUAACUGACGUUGAGGCUCGAAGGCGUGGGGAGCAAACGGGAUUAGAUACCCCUGUAGUC
rnacentral:rRNA from 1 species